AAUGAUAGAGGCGCGAUUUUCAUCAGUAGCAGUGAUCUUCACGGAACAUGGCAGUUCCUUCACCGCCAAAGGGAAAACCGCCGAAGGGUCCUCACAGCCAGGAGGGCGGACCCUGGGACGGCACAGAACAUGUGCCGUACUGUCACAAAGUUGUGGAGCGCUAUCA
rnacentral:ncRNA from 1 species